GAAAAGAACUUUGAAAAGAGAGUUAAACAGUACGUGAAAUUGUUGAUAGGGAAACGAUUGAAGUCAGUCAUGCCGGCGAGAAAUCAGCCUACAGGCUACUGUGGGUGCACUUUUUUGCAAGGCAGGUUAACAUCGAUUUUGAUCGUCAUAAAAUGAUCGGAGGAAUGUAGCUUCGAUUUAGAUCGAAGUGUUAUAGCCUUUGGUAGAUGUGACGAUUGUGAUCGAGGAUUGCAACGAAUACCCUUUGGACCAUUUGGGUUAUCCGUCUAGCCUUUGAAAGUCGCUUGGGUGUCGAAAGCG
rnacentral:misc_RNA from 1 species